rnacentral:snRNA from 2 species
AGCUUUGCUCAGUGACAGUAUCAUAGCCAAUAAGGUUUAUUCGAGGCACGAUUAUUGCUAAUUGAAAACUUUUUGAAGAGUCAACUUUUAGAUUCAUUAAUU